GUUAUCGAUGGGGAUGCGUUCCAUUAGUUUGUUGGCGGGGUAACGGCCCACCAAGACUACGAUGGAUAGGGGUUCUGAGAGGAAGGUCCCCCACAUUGGAACUGAGACACGGUCCAAACUCCUACGGGAGGCAGCAGUGAGGAAUAUUGGUCAAUGGACGAGAGUCUGAACCAGCCAAGUAGCGUGAAGGAUGACUGCCCUAUGGGUUGUAAACUUCUUUUAUAUGGGAAUAAAGUAUUCCACGUGUGGGAUUUUGUAUGUACCAUAUGAAUAAGGAUCGGCUAACUCCGUGCCAGCAGCCGCGGUAAUACGGAGGAUCCGAGCGUUAUCCGGAUUUAUUGGGUUUAAAGGGAGCGUAGGUGGAUUGUUAAGUCAGUUGUGAAAGUUUGCGGCUCAACCGUAAAAUUGCAGUUGAAACUGGCAGUCUUGAGUACAGUAGAGGUGGGCGGAAUUCGUGGUGUAGCGGUGAAAUGCUUAGAUAUCACCGAAGAACUCCGAUUGCGAAGGCAGCUCACUAGA
rnacentral:rRNA from 1 species